rfam:Asian citrus Psyllid, Diaphorina citri - Florida Strain, whole genome shotgun sequence.
AAUUACGACAAUAUCAGGUUGAAUACAUCAGUUUCCGAUGGAUCACUAAAGUUAAAAACGUUGCGCGUGGUUGGUAUCCGGAUGGCUGGCCAUCUGGAUAAUCGCGUGCUGCUAUAG